AAGUUUUAUGUCUGGGUGUGCUGUGCGGAACGUAUCAGCGAGAGAGCCUAGCAGAUUUCGUUAAAAUGGUCCCUGAUUUAAAAAAAGUGGUCCCUGGCCUGGUUACCAAGCAUACCGCAUUUGUAAUUAGAAAAUGUUAUGGAAAUUUCCUUUGCGUUUGUAAUUAAGUCAUUAGUUUUGCUCUAAUGCUGUCGGAACAAUGAAAUAGGCUACGUUUCGCUACCAUACAGUCCGAAUGGAAUAACGGGCCGGCUAAAUAUGACUUGUGUUUACUAAAAUAUAAAGCCUUAUUUUUCACCCUGCUCGGUUUCCUUUGUUCUUGUCGGGGAAUAUAUUCAAUAUUCUCCUCUAAUCAAUUUCCGUUUAAUAAUCCCCUCUAAUAUUCACCUGCAAUUAAUAAUCCCCUCUAAUAUUCACCUGCAAUGUCUUUGCAGCACAAAAAAUGAGAAAAAACAACAUCGCGAAGGCAAAAUGGCAUUAAGAAUUAUUUCUUUUCUGACUCAUUAACGCGACCUCGCAGUGUGAAAAAUAAGUACGUUAUUUUGAGGCACCUCGGGGAUAUGUGAUUUAUUCACCUCGGCGCUGCGCGCCUCGGUGAAUAAAUCACAUAUCCCCUCGUUGCCUCAAAAUAACCUAUACAUAUUAAAUGCUAUCUAGAAGCUUGAAAAUUAUGCCGGGUCUCCGACUAAAAAUGUUUUGACAACACAGUCAUGUCAGGUAAAUGUUUCCAAUCUCCUCAGCUACAUAAACCUGUCAAGUAGAAAGCGUAGUUGUGUAUACCAGUAUGGUCUAGUGACUAGUGUUGAUCACAACUUUCGAGUAUAUAAAUAACACCAACU